CUCCCUUGGAGAUCCAAUGCCCACAGCUUGGGCAUCCUUCAUCCUGCAUGCCCAAAGGGGUUUGGGUGUUCUUCUUAUUUGCUGGUUUCUAGUCCUUGAUUACUGCAUAAUCUAAGAAAAAAAAGCAAGAGAAGAAGAGAAAAAAAAGAUCAAAGAAAGGAUCAAAGAGUUGAUCGUGAUGCAGAUUUCAUUCAGAUUCGCAAGCUGAUUUUUUUUGAACAAAAAAAAUUAAUUGCAAAGAGAGC
rnacentral:lncRNA from 1 species